rnacentral:rRNA from 1 species
AUUGAACGCUGGCGGCAGGCCUAACACAUGCAAGUCGAGCGGAGCGGCGGACGGGGGAGUAAGGCCUAGGAAUCUGAAUGGGAGUGGGGGAUAACGUCAGGAAACGGGCGCUAAUACCGCAUACUAUCAGAUGAGCCUAGGUGGGAUUAGCUAGUUGGUGGGGUAAAGGACUACCAAGGCGAAGAUCCGUAACUGGUCUGAGAGGAUGAUCAGUCACACUGGAACUGAGACACGGUCCAGCCUCCUACGGGAGGCAGCAGUGGGGAAUAUUGGACAAUGGGCGAAAGCCUGAUCCAGCCAUGCCGCGUGUGUGAAGAAGGUCUUCGGAUUGUAAAGCACUUUAAGUUGGGAGGCGUUACCAACAGAAGAAGCACCGGCUAACUUCGUGCCAGCAGCCGCGGUAAUAC